GGAUUCCCCUAGUAACUGCGAGUGAAGCGGGAAAAGCUCAAAUUUAAAAUCUGGCGGUCUUUGGUCGUCCGAGUUGUAGUCUGGAGAAGUGCUUUCCGCGCUGGACCGUGUACAAGUCUCUUGGAAUAGAGCGUCAUAGAGGGUGAGAAUCCCGUCUUUGACACGGACUACCAGUGCUUUGUGAUGCGCUCUCAAAGAGUCGAGUUGUUUGGGAAUGCAGCUCAAAAUGGGUGGUAAAUUCCAUCUAAAGCUAAAUAUUGGCGAGAGACCGAUAGCGAACAAGUACCGUGAGGGAAAGAUGAAAAGCACUUUGGAAAGAGAGUUAAACAGUACGUGAAAUUGCUGAAAGGGAAACACUUGAAGCUCAGUCGCGUCGCUUGGAACUCAGCCUUGCUUUUGCUUGGUGCACUUUCUGAGUGACGGGCCAGCAUCAAUUUUGACCVUUGGAAAAAGGCUGGGGGAAUGUGGCACCUUCGGGUGUGUUAUAAACUCUGGUCACAUACAACGGUUGGGAUUGAGGACCGCAGCGCGCCGCAAGGCAGGGGUUCCCCCACUUUCGCGCUUAGGAUGCUGGCAUAAUGGCUUUAAAUGACCCGUCUUGAAACACGGACCAAGGAGUCUAACAUACCUGCGAGUGUUUGGGUGGAAAACCCGAGCGCGUAAUGAAAGUGAAAG
rnacentral:rRNA from 2 species